AAAGAGUUAGUUAAAUUAACAUUAGUAUGUCAUGCUGAAAUUGUUGGUACAGCCCAGCACUCUUUG
rnacentral:tRNA from 1 species